AAAGUGGGUCAGACAACCGCCGCCACGCAAGUGGGGGAGGAAAGUCCGGGCUCCAUAGAGCAGGAUGCUGGCUAACGGCCAGACGCCGUGAGGCGAGGAAUAGGGCCACAGAGACGAGCGUAUUUAGUUACGGUGAAACGCGGUAACCUCCAUCCGGAGCAACACCAAAUAGGCAGGCGAUGAAGCGGCUCGCUGAGUCUGCGGGUAGGUGGCUGGAGCCGGUCAGUAAUGACCGGCCUAGAGGAAUGGUUGUCCACGACAGAACCCGGCUUACCGACCGACUUUCCCA
rnacentral:RNase_P_RNA from 1 species